GGGACGUAGAAGAUGAAUGCCGGAGCAAACGCGAUAAGCACCCUACGCGGGAAUUACGCUCGCAAGACUAAAACUCAAACGAAUGGACGCGGUACCGCCCAAGCAGCGGAGCGUGUGGUUCACUUCGAUGAUACACGAAGAACCUGACAUGGAUUUGACAUGUACGUGGUACGAAGGUGAAAUCAUAAGGCCCCUUUGUGGAGAGUACCCAGAUGCUUCAUUGCUGUCAUCAGCUCACACUCUGAAAAGUCUCAUUAAGUCCCGUAACGAGCGCAACCCUUGCCCUUAGUUACAAGUGUCUAAGGGGACUGCCGGCGGGAAGCCGGAGGAAGGUGGGGAUGACGUCAAGUCAGCAUGGCCAUUAUGUCCAGGGCUACACACACGCUACAAUGGUCAGUACAAAGGGUAUAGAAGUCGCGAGGCGGAGCGAAUCUCAACAAACAGGAUCGUAGUUCGGAUCGUCGGUUGCAACCCAUCUGCAUGAAGAGGGAGUUGAUCGUAACCGAGCGUCAGCCAUACUGCGGUGAAUACGUACCCGGGGCUGGUACACACCGCCCGUCACGUCCAGGGAGUCGGUUACUCCUGAAACCAAUAGUAUGGCCUCCAAGGGAGGACCAUGUGGAAGGCGGGACUGCCAACUGGGACGAAGUCCUAACUAG
rnacentral:rRNA from 1 species